CUUUGCCCUUCUCUUUGUAAGGAUUCUUGCAAACAUGACGAAUGAUGAAACACAAGUUCCCAACAAGAAGCCUACCCUUGAAGAUGUGAUAAAUGCAAUUCCGAGUGUUCCAACAUUAUGACGGGAGUGUCAUUUCAAGCAUUGUUUUAUGGUGCAGAUAUAGGUACUCGGUGUGAUCAGAUGCUCCAGUAGGCUCUACCUUCUCAGCUUGGCUUAGGGCCUCUAUACUUCCAGAGGUCUUGGUCUGCAGAUUUCUCACAGCAGUUAUGUUUGUUUAAAUAAAGGCAGUGGAGCAAUUUAAAAAGAGGAAACAGCAGAUUGACCGACCAACCUCAUCUGGCUUCUUCGCGGCAAUCAGUGCAUUUGUAAGGCCACGAAGAACUUCAAAAUCAAUAGUUCCAGACACCUGUAAGAGCAUCCUAACAGGUUAUUCAAGUUUGUGCAAAUGCUGAGGAAACCGGGUCCAAAAAGAAGAGCUGAAGUCUAAUAAACAUUUUGUUUGUGGGAUUUGAUAUGGUCAACUAACAUGACAAAACUGAUAAAUACAUAAAUCAGUUUAACUU